rnacentral:sRNA from 1 species
UCAGUUUGAAAAGGAGGAUUGAGCUCACUGUGGAGUAUCCAUGGAGAUGUGGAGCCUUGUCACCAAACUCUAACUGCAGAACUGGGAUGUGGAGCUGGAAGUGCCUCCUCUUCUGGGCUGUGCUGGUCACAGCCACACUCUGCACCGCUAGGCCAUCCCCAACCUUGCCUGAACAAGACUGCUGGAGUUAAUACCACCGACAAAGAGAUGGAGGUGCUUCACUUAAGAAAUGUCUCCUUUGAGGACGCAGGGGAGUAUACGUGCUUGGCGGGUAAC